GAAGUGGCUCGGUGGUAGAGAUCUUGCCUAGGAUGUCUGAGGUCCUGGGUUCUACCCCCAGCACUACA
rnacentral:tRNA from 1 species